rnacentral:rRNA from 1 species
AGAUUGAACGCUGGCGGCAGGCCUAACACAUGCAAGUCGAGCGGUAGAGAGGUGCUUGCAUCUCUUGAGAGCGGCGGACGGGUGAGUAAUGCCUAGGAAUCUGCCUAGUGGUGGGGGAUAACGUUCGGAAACGGACGCUAAUACCGCAUACGUCCUACGGGAGAAAGCGGGGGACCUUCGGGCCUCGCGCCAUUAGAUGAGCCUAGGUCGGAUUAGCUAGUUGGUGAGGUAAUGGCUCACCAAGGCGACGAUCCGUAACUGGUCUGAGAGGAUGAUCAGUCACACUGGAACUGAGACACGGUCCAGACUCCUACGGGAGGCAGCAGUGGGGAAUAUUGGACAAUGGGCGAAAGCCUGAUCCAGCCAUGCCGCGUGUGUGAAGAAGGUCUUCGGAUUGAAAGCACUUUAAGUGGAGAAGGUUGUAACCUAAUACGUUGCAACUUUGACGUUACGACAGAAUAAGCACCGGCUAACUCGUGACCAGCAGCCGUA